GGGACUCUUAACUUUUGGGUACAUGGAAACAUGCUGAAAACUGAACACAAUCCUGAUCAUCACUCCUGCCUGGCUGUCUCCUGGGAGGCUGCCGGGUGCCACGGAGCUGGGACACAGCAGAGCCCGCUAGGUGUUGCAGGGCCCUGGAGGCCAAGGCCACCCUGUGUGGGGUCCCUGUUGGCAGCCAGGUCCCUACACAAACAAGUAAUCCUGUUUGGCCUCCUAGGUUUUGCAUAUGACCUGCAGCCUAAUUUGGGGUGUAGGGGAAGCUCUGCUGGCCCCUGCUCCUUUGUAUGUUGGGUGACUUUAAUGGCUGGCCACAUACCCCUUUCUCCCAGCUACUCAUUCACUGACUUGGGUAAGUUCUAAGACAGUUCGCACUUAGAAAAGAAUGUGACACAUCAACAUUAACUUUUCCUGAAAAGAAGAGUUUGCCUAACAUGGUCCUAAAGAAGCUUGGAAUUUAUAAGACUUUCCUUUAUAAGAUAUAGUGGGGGUUUUUUUGGGUGGAGGGGGGUUGUUUUUUGUUUUUUGUUUUCAAGACAGAGUCUCGCUCUGUUGUCCAGGCUGGAGUGUAGUGGCAUGAUCUCGGCUCACUGCAACCUCUGCCUCCCAGGUUCAUGCCAUUCUCCUGCCUCAGCCUCCCGAGUAGCUGGGACUACAGGUGUCUGCCGCCACGCCUGGCUAAUUUUUUUGUAUUUUUAGUAGAGACGGGGUUUCACCAUGUUGGUCAGGAUGGUCUCGAUUUCCUGACCUCGUGAUCCGCCUGUCUCGGCCUCCCAAAGUGCUGGGAUUACAGGCGUGAGCCACCACGCCUGGCCUAUAAGAUACGGUAAAAAAAAAAAACUGUGACCCCUUUGUCACUAAGGGAGAAAGAAAUUAAGUAUUGUCAAAGUUCUAUAAAGAAUGGAAAUGUAUGAUAUUAUACUUCAAAGGAAUUUGAUGUUGAAAUUUUAAAGAAAAUUUGUCAUGUUGAUGAGAAGCUUCACUUUCCUGGGAACUUCAUUCGUUUUAGGGCAUGAGAUAAAAGUCCUGGCUAGGGGAGCCAUAGGUCUGUUGUACAAGGAAUUUGCUUUCUAAACAAGUUGUAACUUGCCCUAAGGUCCCUGUUGGAGCACUAAGAGGUGACACAGGCCAGAGACAACGUUUCGUUUCCCCUUCCCUGCAAGCUGGGAUCAGCCCUGUGUUUUCUCCUUUCAGCUGAAGUGAGCGAAGGUUCUCAGUGCUGGCAAAAGAGCCCACUUUCUAAAAGGACUUGGGAAGAAAGCUGCUGGGAACUUGCUUAUUAAAAAGUUCCUUAGAAUUAAGGUAUCUACCCACUGUUUUCGCACCUUUCACCUUCCUGGGCUUUCCUGCCCUCCAGCAUUCUUCUCUAGAGAGGUUCCUAGCCCGCUCAGCGCGAGCGUCUCCAGUAGGUAAUAGCAGCUGAACGUGGGUUUUCCACGGACUUCAGGCUUGGAGGUGCCAUAUACAAGCACACUUCUUCCUUCCCCUGGCUUCUCCAUGCCACCACCCACUUUAAAGAUGUAAACUCAGUAGAUUUUUCAUCCAGUGAACGGUCAUCUUCACAUCGAAAGGUGAAGGCCACCACUGUUCUCAAUGCCAAGCAACAGAACGUUCUGAGAUGGCCGUUCUUCCUUGCACAGCAGCUACGGCAGGUUGUUCUGCAGCCACCCCUUAGAGGGGGCUCUUCGUUUUACCUUUGUACAGUUCUUGUGUUUACACAUUUGGGCCAAACAGCUUUCAGCAAGGGCAUGUGUCCACAGCUGAUGGGCAGUUAAGAACCAGCCUGAGCUGAAGGCUAGUAAUACCGUGCUGUAGGCUCUUUAAAAGGAAAGCCUGGCAUAAACCCAGCAUGGAAAGGAACAUUAUCAGUUAUCUCAAAUUUUGUCUGCCAGGGACAAGACCCUGUUCAUUCUUUUGCCCUUUUCAGAACUGUGAGCUUCAAGUAUUCUUGCUUCUCUGUAAAGGGAAGACAUCUCCCUUCUCUGAAAUCCUUCAACAAAAGAAAAGGCUCUUGGCAGGGUAGGGGAGUCAGUAGCUCAACACUAGAUCAUCCCUAGAGAUGGGGCAAGUUUCUGUCUGAACACGUCUUGGGUCCGAGUCCUUAGGUGUUCGGAUGCAGUACUUUGUGAAUACUUAAGCUACUGCAUGCUUGGUGUAGCUUGCAAUUUCUCUGUAUUUAAAAGCAGCUGUGUUUAUUUUCUUCAAAAUAACCUGUAUAUUAUUUAGAGCAAGCAAUGUAAAUAUUACUGAGAAGUUACUGCAGGGAUUUUUGUGACAGAGUUUGUAUGGGUUUUUAAAAAAAUCUUAGACACCCCUUUUUAAGAUGGGGAGAACAGGGUUGACUGCACCGUUGAAGCCCGCCCAGCAUUAUAAGGAAAUGUUUUUAAUGACUGCUGCAUCUUUGUAAAACGUUUGGUCAUCUAACAGAUGGUUUUAAAGUGUACAAUAUCCAAAAUAACGAUAGCCCUGUAUCCAUACAUUGUUUCAUUGAAAGAAUUCUCUAUUGCCUCUUCUUGGUAGAGCCAGAGUCCUUAAGGAAAAUCAGGAAAAUUAAGAAAAUGAUGGUGCCAUCUUGACCAGACUUCUGCACAGUAAUUUAACGCUAUCCUAGGGAGACUUGGUUGAAGGCACAGUUCUGGGAUCAGGGUCUAAAUGUGCAGUUUCUGAGAACCUUCAAGACCACUCACUGGGCAGGGCUCUGUGGAGCACUGGAGCUGUUUGGAUUCCCCAGCCCUUUGGUCAUAUCCUGGAAUUCCGUGGAGGCUGCAGAACUUAGAUGCAGCUGUUUUUUACAGCACCUAUUUUUGUCAGAUUGGUAAGGAAACACUGAGUCACAGAAUACUUAAGAAUUGGAGACUCCAGUAAUGUAGGAUGGCCUGAGAGGACGUCCAAGUCCCAAGGGGUGGACACGGCAUGUUCCUCGGGCACAGCCUCAGUGGGGGCCUUCCCCAGGCGCAGCUCGGCCACCUGAGGAAAGGGUGUUUCGGAGGCGCAGCCACACACACAGCGCUGGCAGCCUCACGGUCACGCCCAUCACUCCCUGCCCCCCACUGCCCUUGAGAAGUUAGUGGUGUCACAUCCUUAGUUUUAUAGACAGCUAGGAAUAGAUUGUGAAGAACACUCAGUUCACUACUGUGUUACAUUUAUAUCACAAGCUUCAAUUAAAAUGGAUUUUAAAGGAUUUUAGGAUUUACCUUUAGUAUUAACAACGUAUCUACUGACAUACUGUUAGGAUUCAAAACCAGUUAAGUAUAAGAAUUACUUCAUGUGGUUUUCCUAGGGUACAAUUUAUAAAAGGUAGAAAGCAUCCAAGUGGCUCCUCAACAAUUACAAUUCUUAAUGAUUUUUCUCACAGCUGUGCCCUUCUGUCAGGGUCAGUGUCAAAAUUCGUUAUCAAAGGCAAAACCUACUGUGCCAAGCUGGGGCGCUAUAUGUGAACGGAGUGGAAAUGCUUCAGUCACCUCUGCCGCAGCUUGUGAUUCCAGCAGUUCUCACAAACGUUCUGUCACAUGAUGAAAAGAAGCAGCUUGUAUAAUUCCAACUGGUGUUUCAUUUCUGUUCUAAUGCUAAGUGGUAACGCUUAACAAACAGACUAAAAGCUGUGUGCAGAAGAAAGGGCUGAAUGAGUACCGCCUCCCUAGGUUCCAGCACAGCGCUCGGGUCUAAGAAGUAGAGCCCCGGGGUAGGGUGGGCCAUCCACUGUCAGGCCAGUGUCUCAAGAAAGCCUGACCAGCUGAGCUGCUGCUUUUUUUUUGGGGGGGGGGGGGGGAGGGGCGUCUUGAGGCUUUUUUUUUUUUUACAAAGUUAGUUUGUGAUCAACGAUUCACUACAAUUGAAGUGUUACUUUGUCAGAAUAUUUAUUCCUUUGUGUGACAUGCUAGAUUCCCUGGAUGUAGCUGAUCAUUUUUAUUUUGUAAAUAUUACCUAACUUUACAUAAACUAUAUCAUAAUAAACUAUUUUUGCAUCACCCUUUG
rnacentral:lncRNA from 1 species